GGGACAAGUAAUUAUAUACACAUUAUAUAUCUUAUGUUAUGUUACUUACUAACAUAGAUUUGUCAUAUAUAUACAAGAUGUAUCAUAUUUUAUUUUAUUUUGUAGGCAUUUUCUUCUAUUGGUAGAGCUGCUGUCUAUUCCUCAUACAUCAGAGUCUAGGAGCUACGUGCGACGUGGACAAGAAUUUGUACAUUUCUUUCAAAAUAUUUAGGAUAUAGCAUCAUGUAGGUAUAUUUUUGCAUUAUAUAUUUUGUAGAUUUAUGUUUUCUAUAG
rnacentral:lncRNA from 1 species